ensembl:lncRNA
AUCAAUGUCUUCAGGAUCAUAGGAAAAUCACAGGUAGGUGAGUUUGAUCAGGUUGAAGCAAAACUCUGCAGCGCAUUGGCCCUCCAGGGCAAGAUUUGUGGAACCCUGGGUUAAGGUGUCAGCGUUAAGGAGCAAUACUGCCACCUGGGAGCUCAACCAGAUAUGUCUCUGAUACAGCUGGAAACUCACAGACAGAGGGAAAAAUGUACAGUGUGUCAGUGGGCAGAAUGGCUCUUUACUAUGAAUAAUGAGUCGUUGAUGCAACAGAACAUUUUUGCUUCUCUGGACCAAAUAAAAAAGGUUUGGGUGGGUUGGGUGAGUUGUGGAGAAAACUAUAUGAUGGAUCUGCUGAUGCAAUUGCAGACUCGAGAGACAAAACAAGCCUCUUCAGCAGAACUGCUGUGCCAAAUCAACAUUUAGAUCCACUGCAUAUAAGAUGAAGAGAAAUGCAAGAACCAGUUCACAUAUACCAGGCCAGAGUUUGUGUUCUCAUUCAUCUCAGUGGCAGAUUCAAUGGCACAUAUACAAUCUUAAGAGUGCACAGCAAAUAUGGCUGACAAUCAAUCCAUGAAGCAACCAAAGUUUGGGUCAAAACAGGUCUUUAAAUGGAAAUGCAUGUCUUUUCACUUCGUAAACUCAUAGGUCAGAGUUUAACUCAAACCAUGGUGCACAUAAACAAAAACAUCUGUGCAACAUAUUUGUGUUCCCACUCUCAAGCAUGAGAAUAGAAGUGAAUGAAACACGAAGUGUGAACAAUCCGUCUGAAGCAAUGGCAAAAGCAAUCACUUCGGUUCCAGAAGUCUCCCUCAAGUUCAUUUACCCUCUCAUUCCUUUUGGACGAAUUUUCUUCUGAUUUUGCUGUUGCUAUUGACACAUUCCUGCCCUCCAUCAAGCGUAACAGAAGCUUAAGAAGUAAUUUACCAGUAAGACUGAGCAGAAUAAAAAUACAACAUGCUCCACUGCACUGCUGGAAUGCCAUUCUAUUCAAGCUUAAUGGAUUGAUGCUAUUAAUAAAGCGUUGUCUGUCAUAUGCUGAGCGUCCAGUUUGAAAUUAUUUUGAAAGAUGUCAUCUGUAUCUAUUAAUUCAAAUAAAUCUGUCUCCAUCUCAGUCAAUCAAAUCCAC